GCGGAGAUGGCUCAGUGGUUAAAAGCAUUGGCUGCUCUUCUAAAGGUCCUGAGUUCUAUUCUCAGUACCCACA
rnacentral:tRNA from 1 species